rnacentral:snRNA from 2 species
GUGCUCACUUCGGCAGCACAUACACUAAAAUUGGAAGGAUGCAGAGAAGAUUAGCACUAGCACGGCCCCUGCACAAGGGUGACAUGCAAAUUCGUGAAGUGUUUCAUAUUUUU